rnacentral:misc_RNA from 1 species
AACGCACAUUGCGCCCGGCAGUAAUCUGCCGGGCAUGCCUGUCCGAGCGUCAUUUCAACCCUCGAACCUCUGUUUCCUCAGGGAAGCUCAGGGUCGGUGUUGGGGCGCUACGGCGAGUCUUCGCGACCCCCGUAGGCCCUGAAAUACAGUGGCGGUCCCGCCGCGGUUGCCUUCUGCGUAGUAAGUCUCUUUUGCAAGCUCGCAUUGGGUCCCGGCGGAGGCCUGCCGUCAAACCACUAUAACUCCAGAUGGUUUGACCUCGGAUCAGGUAGGGUUACCCGCUGAACUUAA